rfam:Danio rerio chromosome 3, GRCz11 reference primary assembly.
UGCCACAGCCAUAUCACUCUGCAGCCCAAGACUGGUUACUCACUGAAGCUAAGCAGGGCUGAGCCUGGUCAGUACCUAGAUGGGAGACCACAUGAAAAAAACUAGGUUGCUGUUGGAA